rnacentral:rRNA from 1 species
UACAGAGGUCUCAAGCGUUGUUCGGAUUCAUUGGGCGUAAAGGGUGCGUAGGCGGCGCGGUAAGUCGGGUGUGAAAUCUCGGAGCUUAACUCCGAAACUGCAUUCGAUACUGCCGUGCUUGAGGACUGGAGAGGAGACUGGAAUUUACGGUGUAGCGGUGAAAUGCGUAGAUAUCAGGAGGAACACCGGUGGCGAAGGCGGGUCUCUAGACAACUCCUGACACUGAGGCACGAAAGCUAGGGGAGCAAACAGG